UACAGAGGUCUCAAGCGUUGUUCGGAAUCACUGGGCGUAACGGGUGCGUAGGCGGGUCUUUAAGUCAGGGGUGAAAUCCCGGAGCUCAACUUCGGAACUGCCCUUGAUACAGCACGUCUUGAGUCCGGAAGAGGUGGGUGGAAUUCCUAGUGUAGAGGUGAAAUUCGUAGAUAUUAGGAAGAACACCGGUGGCGAAGGCGGCCCACUGGUCCGGUACUGACGCUGAGGUGCGAAAGCGUGGGGAGCAAACAGG
rnacentral:rRNA from 1 species